UCNCAUGAAGCAGCAAUUAAAGGAGUAAUCCGCUUUGAGAUGGACCCGCGGCGCAUUAGCUAGUUGGAGAGGUAACGGCUCACCAAGGCGACGAUGCGUAGCCGACCUGAGAGGGUGAUCGGCCACAUUGGAACUGAGACACGGUCCAGACUCCUACGGGAGGCAGCAGUGGGGAAUAUUGCACAAUGGGCGAAAGCCUGAUGCAGCAACGCCGCGUGAGUGAUGAAGGUCUUCGGAUUGUAAAGCUCUGUCUUUUGGGACGAUAAUGACGGUACCAAAGGAGGAAGCCACGGCUAACUACGUGCCAGCAGCCGCGGUAAUACGUAGGUGGCAAGCGUUGUCCGGAAUUACUGGGCGUAAAGGAUGUGUAGGCGGAUAUUUAAGUGAGAUGUGAAAUCCCCGAGCUCAACUUGGGGGCUGCAUUUCAAACUGGGUAUCUAGAGUGCAGGAGAGGAAAGCGGAAUUCCUAGUGUAGCGGUGAAAUGCGUAGAGAUUAGGAAGAACAUCAGUGGCGAAGGCGGCUUUCUGGACUGUAACUGACGCUGAGGCAUGAAAGCGUGNGGAGCAAACAGGAUUAGAUACCCUGGUAGUCCACGCCGUAAACGAUGAGUA
rnacentral:rRNA from 1 species